rnacentral:rRNA from 1 species
UACGGAGGGUGCGAGCGUUGUCCGGAAUCAUUGGGCGUAAAGCGCGCGUAGGUGGCCUCAUAAGUCCGCUGUGAAAGUCAAAGGCUCAACCUUUGAAAGCCGGUGGAUACUGCCGGACUAGAGUUCGGAAGAGGCGAUGGAAUUCCCGUGGUAGCGGUGAAAUGCGCAGAUAUCGGAGGACGACCUCGUGGCGAAGGCAGGCUCGCUGG